GAUGAACGCUGGCGGCGUGCCUAAUACAUGCAAGUCGAGCGACCGGACGAUAAGCUCUCUCCCCUGCUGUUAGCGGCGGGCGGGUGAGUAACGCGUGGAUCACCUUCUUCUUAUUCUGGGAUGACUUCGGGGACCGGCGCUAAUUCCGACUAAUAUCUUCAUCCGCAUGGAUCCAGAGUGAAUUCCGGUCUUGCGCGCACUUAUAGGCGGAUCUCCGCUGCAUUAGCUAGUUGGUUAGGUAACGGCUUACCAAGGCAACGAUGCAUAGCCGGCCUGAGAGGGUGAUCGGCCACACUGGAACUGAGACACGGUCCAGACUCCUACGGGAGGCAGCAGUAGGGAAUCUUCCGCAAUGGGCGAAAGCCUGACGGAGCAACGCCGCGUGAGUGAUGAAGGUCUUCGGAUCGUAAAACUCUGUUAUUAGGGAAGAACAGAUGUGUAAGUAACUGUGCACAUCUUGACGGUACCUAAACAGAAAGCAACGGCUAACUACGUG
rnacentral:rRNA from 1 species